ACAUCUUCAGGCUCUGCCACUUUGCAUUGCCCUCAACUUUUAACAGCUGUUUUUUGAGUGAGUACAGAUGCAAACUAAUGAUAAUAAUGACUAGUUAACAUUUGUUUGUGUUUUUCUUUCCUUCAACACAUUGUAUGUACAAGAAGCCACACCCUUAGAGUGCAACACAGCUGGAUUCACGAUAAGCAGUAGGAGCACUGGAUAGAUGAAGAAAAAUGAAAAAAAUUGCACCAUAUGUCACUCAGGAAAUUUCUGCUGAAGAAAACCAGAAAAUGGAAAGUGGCUGUUAGGAAAAUAUGAAGCAUCAAAGUCCAAGUGAAAUAAUGAAACAUUUAACAAUUUGAGACUAACUGUACAAAACAUUGCCAGCAUUAUGAAUUUAAAUAAUAAAAGGCAUGAUAAUA